rnacentral:rRNA from 1 species
GACGAACGCUGGCGGCGUGCUUAACACAUGCAAGUCGAACGGAAAGGCCCUGCUUUUGUGGGGUGCUCGAGUGGCGAACGGGUGAGUAACACGUGAGUAACCUGCCCUUGACUUUGGGAUAACUUCAGGAAACUGGGGCUAAUACCGGAUAGGAGCUCCUGCUGCAUGGUGGGGGUUGGAAAGUUUCGGCGGUUGGGGAUGGACUCGCGGCUUAUCAGCUUGUUGGUGGGGUAGUGGCUUACCAAGGCUUUGACGGGUAGCCGGCCUGAGAGGGUGACCGGCCACAUUGGGACUGAGAUACGGCCCAGACUCCUACGGGAGGCAGCAGUGGGGAAUAUUGCACAAUGGGCGGAAGCCUGAUGCAGCAACGCCGCGUGCGGGAAGACGGCCUUCGGGUUGUAAACCGCUUUCGCCUGUGACGAAGCGUGAGUGACGGUAAUGGGUAAAGAGGCACCGGCUAACUACGUG